UUUUGUAGCCAUAGUGGAGCAUUAUACAAUAACAUAAAUAAACAUUAUUAAUAUUAAUUCUAAAUGUCGGUUAAUUACAAACUGGUAUACUCUCCAUUUUGUUGAUUAAAAAUUGAUUCUUUAACGCUAUUAUUAAUAAUAUAAAUUAUUGGGACUCAAUUCUGAAAUUAAAGGUGUUUAACAAGGGUUCUAAUCAAGCAGCUGAUAGUUAAUGGAACUCAUAAUAUUUUUCUAACAUAUCUCUUAAUAUUUUUUUUUUUUUUGAAAAGUUAUUCCUUAUUAUUUUGUUUGCGGAUUUGUUUGCCUAUUGAGAACAAAAGAAGAAUAAAAAAAUUCUGCUUACAGAGAACGAAGCAGAUCAUAUAAGCUUUCUCCAAUUAGAAGGUAUAUUUUUUUCUACGUUUCUGUUUUAUUUUUGUUGGUUGUUGUUUCUAUUUAUUGAUAUGAGUUAACUCUGUUAGGUUGUCUUUUUUUGUUUUUUCCUUUCUACUUUUGUUUUUAUCGAUCAUUAGAAGAAUUUAUCUAUCAUCCAAAGAGCUUCUUUUAUUUUACGUACCUUUCAAACUUGAAUUUAAUGAUUCAUUUCUCCAUCAACCACUUAACAAUCUCCCUGACCUUUAACAGAUAUAAAAUUCCUGAUAUCAACACAUGAUUCCUGAUAAAUUUACAUAUUUUAAUCUUUAAUAUCAUAUAUAGCACCAUUGCUUACCACAAGAUCAAGAUGAUAUUCACCAUUGGUUUGGAGUAGUAUUUUAGAGAAAUUGAAAUUGAAGAAAUUCAUAAUUUUACUCCAUCUUAUCAAAUAAUUGAUAUCUGAGUAAAGUUAUUUUGAUCACUUGCUUUCAAUUCUGAAAUUCUAAUUUUCUAGCUUGAUUUUGGGAAGUUGAAGAAGAAGAAAAGAGAAUGAAGAACAUAUCUGUUGUUUUUUACCUGGUGAACUGAUGAUUGAAAUAUUCCACAAAAUGUCAAUUAACACUCUCGUUCGUUGUACUACUGUAUGCAAGUACUGGAACUCUCUCAUUAAAGAUCCUACCUUUAUUUCCACCCACCUUAAGCUUACCACCACGGCUUCUUCCUUUGCCGUCUCCACUACAGUGACCGCCGCUACGAAUGUGAGCAGGGUACUAAAGCAUGCUACUAUAUCUAUCAUGACAACCAAGAGUUCACUGUCCACAAGGUUAUUGAUUUACCUUUCAAGGGUCACGAGAAAUCCUUUCGUGUUGCUGACUCUAUCAAUGGCAUAGUUUGCCUUAUCGGCGACCACGAUUAUGUACCCUACUAUUAUCUGCUCUGGAACCCAUCCAUUCAAAAAUCUAUUACCGUUCCUAGGCCUAACCUCACUUCCAUGGGCCAUGCCUUUGUUGGGUUUGGCUAUGAUUCCCGCAAUGAUGACUACAAGUUAGUGAGAAUGGUUCCUCCUAAUGACCCAAAGGGUUUAAACUCCGGAGCUCAACUGGAGAUUUUCUCACUCAAGUCUAGUUCAUGGAAGACUCUGUCUGGUCCAAUAUGUCAUAAAUAUAUGACUAUUGCUUCUAGUUCACAAGCUUUUGUUAAUGGAGUUGUUCAUUGGAUUGCUCGUAGAGAUGGGGAUUCUUUGUUAAACUAUGUUUUGUUAGGGUUGGAUAUGAGUAAUGAAGUGCUUCAUGAGACUAUAUUGCCGGAAGAAUUUAGGAUUCAACUAUUGGUUUGUCCAGCUCAAACUUUUUCCAUUUGGUUCGUCCAGUGGUAUAUAAAGAUUCAACUAUUGGUUUGUAUUACAGAAAUCCUUCCAUUGUUAACCCUUGUCUAUGGAUAAUGAAAGAGUAUGGUGUGGGAAAUUAAUGGACCAAGAUUUUUGUAACCGGUAACGAUUUAAAGUCCCUGCACACAGCAAGGCCAUUGUGGAUUAGCAAGAAAGGUGAAGAGUUGAUAGCAGAGAGUCUUGAUGGGGAUCUUAUAGCAGUUGAUCUCCAGAAUCGGCACGUUAAAUGCCGACAGGUUUUGGGAACACCGGAAUAUACUUUUAUUGGGCCCUAUGUGGAAAGUUUAGUGUUGCUUAAUACCAUUGAUGGCUAUUUCGUCAAAAUACUUGAAUAGAAUAAUUUUUUUUUUUGUUCAACCUCAGGCAUAGGUAUUUCUAAUCACCUGUUUCAUAUUUAUAAGAUCUAUUAUGUUUUAGUAUUUUGCUUAAUAAUAAAAAAAAAUGUUGUUA